CGUGCCUAACACAUGCAAGUCGAACGGGAAUCUUCGGAUUCUAGUGGCGGACGGGUGAGUAACGCGUAAGAAUCUAACUUCAGGACGGGGACAACAGUUGGAAACGACUGCUAAUACCCGAUGUGCCGCAAGGUGAAAACUAAUUGGCCUGAAGAAGAGCUUGCGUCUGAUUAGCUAGUUGGUGGGGUAAGAGCCUACCAAGGCGACGAUCAGUAGCUGGUCUGAGAGGAUGAGCAGCCACACUGGGACUGAGACACGGCCCAGACUCCUACGGGAGGCAGCAGUGGGGAAUUUUCCGCAAUGGGCGAAAGCCUGACGGAGCAACGCCGCGUGAGGGAGGAAGGUCUUUGGAUUGUAAACCUCUUAUCUCAAGGAAGAAGUUCUGACGGUACUUGAGGAAUCAGCCUCGGCUAACUCCGUGCCAGCAGCCGCGGUAAUACGGGGGAGGCAAGCGUUAUCCGGAAUUAUUGGGCGUAAAGCGUCCGCAGGUGGUCAGCCAAGUCUGCCGUCAAAUCAGGUUGCUUAACGACCUAAAGGCGGUGGAAACUGGCAGACUAGAGAGCAGUAGGGGUAGCAGGAAUUCCCAGUGUAGCGGUGAAAUGCGUAGAGAUUGGGAAGAACAUCGGUGGCGAAAGCGUGCUACUGGGCUGUAUCUGACACUCAGGGACGAAAGCUAGGGGAGCGAAAGGGAUUAGAUACCCCUGUAGUCCUAGCCGUAAACGAUGGAUACUAGGCGUGGCUUGUAUCGACCCGAGCCGUGCCGAAGCUAAC
rnacentral:rRNA from 1 species